UCGCCGCGCAUACAUGUGGCGCACAACGAGUUUCCUAGGCCGAUAGGAUUGUCUCUUAGCCAGGAUCUUGAGGGAUCCGCGUGACAUCAUGGGCAUGCAGAUGACUGCUUCGAUCAUGAGUCGUUGCGACGGUCUUGCUGUGAUGUUGUCACAGCUAAGAGACACUGGGCAAUCUGAGAGAGCGCUACGUGACUGGGCUAGACUUUUGUAAUUGUUGGUCUUGAACGAGGAAUGCCUAGUAAUCGUAGGUCAUUAUCCUGCGAUGAUUAUGUCCCUGCCCUUUGUACACACCGCCCGUCGCUCCUGCCGUGGCUCGUGCCGGUGAAGAGGGGGAGGCAGCGUCAACGGAGUAACAUCUGAUUGUACGUGGAACCCCUCUGAACCUUCGCGAGUAGAGGAAGGAGAAGUCGUAACAAGGUUUUCGUAGGUGAACCUGCGAAAGGAUCAUUAUCGGCAAAUUCACAACUACAACACUCUCUAUGUGUGUGUAUAUGUAAAACACUUAUGACUAUGGACUAUGUUGUUACUAUAAACACACAUGUCUAUAUGUAACAAUGGUGAUGUUGAUGUCUCUCAACGUUAAAGCAUGCGCAGUGGACGGCUCGGUUCCCGUGUCGAUGAAGGACGUAGCGAAAUACGAAAGGUGUUGCGAAUUGCAAGAUUUCGUGAGUCAAUGAAUAUCCGAAUGCAUUGUCGUCCCUUCGCAGCUUCGGUUGCAAGGGGCGCGUCGGCAACAUCGGCUAAUUGUCGACCUUCAUAGUCUCUUUUGUUAGUCUCUCGUGUGAGAGAGACUGCUGGAUUCUAUGAAGCAGUGGUUUAGUGAACAAGCAUUCGCUGUUGUGGCUGAGUGCUUGUGAUGAUUGUCUCUAACUAUCGACUACUGAUUGAGAUCAACGACAGU
rnacentral:rRNA from 1 species